rnacentral:rRNA from 1 species
GCAUGUAUCAGUUAAGCCUACACCAUAGUGAAACCGCGAAUGGCUCAUUAAAUCAGUUAUAAUCUCAACAGAUGUUCAGACGUCUAAGGAUAACUGCGGUAACCCUGCAGCUAAUACUUGCUAAUUGCAGGCGGAAUAUGAUUCGCUCUGUUCUCCUUGUUACUUUUAUUAGAGGAACCGGCGUUGGUGAUGCCCAUGUAUCUGCGUGUAGAUCUCUGAAUAACUGAAGGAUCAAAUAUGCGAAAGCGAUUUGACGAUCUGUCUGAGUAUCUGACCUAUCACCUAGUGUCGGUAGUGUAACGGACUACCGAGGGUGUAACGGGUAACGGGGAAUCAGGGUUCGAUUCCGGAGAGGGAGCCUGAGAAACGGCUACCACAUCCACGGAAGGCAGCAGGCGCGCAAAUUACCCAAUCUCGGUGCGAGGAGGUAGUGACGAGAAAUAACAAUAUGAACCCAUGUGGUUUGUGAUUGGAAUGAGAGAAAUGUAACUACUUUCAUUCGAAAACUAGUGGAGGGCAAGUCUGGUGCCAGCAGCMGCGGUAAUACCAGCUCCACAAGCGUAKGCAAAAGUUGCUGCGKUUAAAAAGCUCGUAGUUGGAUCUGUUUCGAGUGUGAMMWUGAAAAACAGGCAUCUCCUUGUGGGAGUCUGGUUGCAUUUGUUUCUUCCCGUAAAUGGUAGUUACACUUCAUUGUGAUGAUUAUUAUGAGCGAUUGAUUAAAUUUGAAUAAAUCAGAGUGUUCAAAGCGACCUUUGGGAUUGAAUGAUAAAGCAUGUGAUAAAGGAGGAAGACCCGUAACGAUGCGUUAAAGUGGUUUGCAAGUUAUGGUAAUGAUUAAAAGGAACAGUCGGGGGCAUUUGUAUUGCUACGUUAGAGGUGAAAUUCUUGGAUCGUGGCAAGACAAACUAAAGCGAAAGCAUUUGCCAAGAAUGUUUUCAUUAAUCAAGAACGAAAGUUAGAGUAUUGAAGAGGAUUAGAUACCCUCGUAAUUCUAACCAUAAACGAUACCUACUUACGAUUUGUCAAUGUUCUCUCCUGUAGACGUGGCAAGGAGUUACCCGGGAAACCAAAGUUAAUUGGCUACGGGGGAAGUAUGGUUGCAAAAUCGAAACUUAAAGGAAUUGACGGAAGGGCACCACCAGGUGUGGAGCCUGCGGCUUAAUUUGACUCAACACGGGGAAACUCACCAGGUCCAGACAUAAUAAGGAUUGACAGACUAAUGAUCUUUCAUGAUUCUAUGGGUGGUGGUGCAUGGCCGUUCUUAGUUAGUGGAGCGAUCUGUCUGGUUAAUUCCGAUAACGAACGAGAUCCAAACCAUCUAAAUAGUAUAUCUAACUGACUUAUGUUGGAUUAAUAUACUUCUUAGAGGGACUACCUGGAAUAUAAUACCAGGGGGAAGUUGGGCUAUAACAGGUCUGUGAUGCCCUUAGAUGUCCUGGGCCGCACGCGCGCUACACUGAAUGUCACAAUGUGAGAAUUAGCCUUGUGCGAAAAGCACUGGGUAAACACUAAAGGCAUAUCGUACUUGGGAUAGAUUGUUGUAAUUAGUAGUCUUGAACGAGGAAUACCUAGUAAGUAUCAGUCAUCAGCUGGUACUGAUUACGUCCCUGCCCUUUGUACACACCGCCCGUCGCUACUACUGAUUGGGCGUUCAAGCGAGGUCCUUGAACACUGACACUAAAUUACUUUACGGUAACGUCGCCGUUCGAAGAAGAGGAUCGAGCUUUGCGUCUAGA